UUCCUCGUCUAACACUACGUUUCCAUAGGUGAGGUUCAUUUUUUGAGUACGUCCCUCGUCUAACACUACGUUUCCAUAGGUGAGGUUCGCUCUUGCCGAUGUGUUCCCCGUCUAACCUGCGUUCUUCCGUAGAUGGGGUUCACUUUUUGAGUACGUCCCUCGUCUAAUACUACGUUUCCGUAGGUGAGGUUCACCCUUUAGCCGAUGUG
rnacentral:lncRNA from 1 species